rnacentral:lncRNA from 1 species
AGGCCCGGUGUGGUCGGCCUCAUUUUGGAUUACUUCGGUGGGCUUCUCCUCGGCGUGGUUACGGUCUAGUACACCUUAGUGUGCUUUUCUCUGCAUGGUCCUUCCCAGCGUGGCUCGUCUCAGCAGCGUGGUUUUCAUCCGUGUGAUCGUCCUCUGCAUGGUUUUUCACGUGAUGCAUUUACUUUAUGGAAUGGGUUUCCCACAACUACUACAGCAGUCUUUUACAUUUAUUUCCAAUAUAAACAUACAAAUGUGGGCAUA